AGGCAUAUCAUGUUGAAACACUGGUUUUCAUAUGAUCACCAAAGUUAAGCAACAUUGGAUCUGAUCAGUACUUAUAUGGGGGAACACUUAGGAAUACACCAGGUGCUGUAAU